UCUCGAGUAGGUCAAGACAACUCAGAUGAGUCAUGGUUGAGCUCUGAUUAAUAAUUCCAUUGAAACUAGAGAAUUUCAGAUAUUUUAACAAGCACUUCUCUUGUUCUUUAUGUGUGAGGCAUCAGCUCAGCUCAUACAGUUCAAUGGAAGUAAGAAUACUGAAGAUGACAAAUUCCUCCAAAAGUACAUUGUCUUGGGGCUUGAGGGCUUGUAUUCCAUGCUUGCUGCGUAAUUCAGAGGGUCUACUUUUCCUCUGUCUCUCUCGCUGUCCUUUAUUUAGCCCCUUAGCCCUCGCUGCAUGCUUGUCAGAGACAUUUAACCAAGCUCAUUAUGAGUCAAAAAUAUUAACAAUUAAUGAUUAAUAAUAUAAACGAGCACAGUGAGAGCUGUGGACAGCUCCUUUUAAUCAGCUUUAAACACCUUAUCAUGCUUCCUCCCAUCUCAUUAUGUGACAUCAAUAUUACAGAUCACAGCUGUGCAUGAGUUCAUGUGUAUGUGUGUGUGAGAUAAGUGGUGUUUUCAUCUUGUAUUAGUGCCCUUACAUGGCACAGUGUAGCUGACAGGUAAGCUGUCAGAGGCAGCAGAGGGAAACAGCCUGCUGGCAUCCAUGUGCUUACAAGUCACAUUUGCUUGUGUGACACUGUCAGAGCUAUCUAAAGUCUAAACUGAAGUCUCUUUCCAUCUCUCUUUUACAGCUGCCUGAGGACAUUCACAGGCAAAACAAGAUGUGUCAAAAAUGCUGAUGGAUGACCCCAGCAACUGGACUUGGAGAGAAAUGAAGGUGUGAAAGCACUCAGAGAACGGAAGCGAUGGAGCCAGAUGACCCGAUGCCCAGAGACCAGU